UUCAAUAUAUUGUCCAUUUAGCUAGUGGUUUUUAGAGCACUUUUUGCACAAUGGUUGUUGGUAGGCUUGGAAAUUUUGGUGUUGGAGUGUGGAUUCCGAAAUUUUGCUCAUGGAAAGAGAGAAGGGAAGUUUUCAUUGGGAUUGUUGAAGCACGUGUUUAAUUUCCUUGAAGAAUAGUGCACAUGGGACAAGAAGUCAACUCAUUUGGUGGAUAUUUGAAAGUUAAAUUUUGAAUUGGUAUUUGGAAGAGCAUGAUGCACGGCCAUGAAGUUCUUUUUGGCCAAUCGGACUUUUAAAAUUAAUUGUUAAUUGUCAUUUAGUCAAAUUAAUUGUUAGGAGUAAAUUAGGCUUGUUGGUUCCCUUGGUUUUAAAUUAAUUUAGUUAAUAGGUUGAGUUUAUGUGUUUGAGUUAGUGUUGCAUUUAAUUAUUUUUAACUGUGUUUGUUAAUUUGUUUGCAAGAGUAUUUGAUGUUGAAUGUUGUCUAGGGUUUUUAAUAGUGUUAGUUUAAUUACCAUGCUAGCUUAAAUUAGUUUGUUUGCAUCUGUGUCUUUAUGUUGAGUUCUUUAAUUUUUGCAAAAACCUUUUCAACCCCCCCCCCUUUUCCGUGUUAAACUCGAUUCGUGAACCGCAAAAUUGGUCCUUGAGAGACGACCUAAGGGUCAUUCCCUAGCAUUAUACUGCAUUUCUAAAUUGCAAUCAAAUUUGUAUGGGCCGCGACACCC
rnacentral:lncRNA from 1 species